UGGGGAAUAUUGCACAAUGGGCGCAAGCCUGAUGCAGCCAUGCCGCGUGUGUGAAGAAGGCCUUCGGGUUGUAAAGCACUUUCAGCGGGGAGGAAGUCGUUAAGGUUAAUAACCUUGGCGAUUGACGUUACCCGCAGAAGAAGCACCGGCUAACUCCGUGCCAGCAGCCGCGGUAAUACGGAGGGUGCAAGCGUUAAUCGGAAUUACUGGGCGUAAAGCGCACGCAGGCGGUCUGUCAAGUCGGAUGUGAAAUCCCCGGGCUCAACCUGGGAACUGCAUCUGAUACUGGCAAGCUUGGGUCUCGUAGAGGGGGGUAGAAUUCCAGGUGUAGCGGUGAAAUGCGUAGGGAUCUGGAAGAAUACCGGUGGCGAAGGCGGCCCCCUGGACGAAGACUGACGCUCAGGUGCGAAAGCGUGGGGAGCAAACAGG
rnacentral:rRNA from 1 species